UAAAAAAUGACAAGAAAGUUGCGUCAAAUGUAAACCAAUUGCGUAGUUUCAGCAACCUUUGCAACUUUUGCACAUUAGAUUUUAUUUCCCAUAAAAGCAUUCCAACAGUGUCAUAAAAUAUGCAAGCUAUAUUUAUAAGUAGCAGAAGAUAAUGUGAUCCCUUCUUUUCAAUAGUACGAACAUAGCUGUUCCUCCUCCUCCUGUAUAAUAAUCUAGCUAUAUUGUUGACCAAUCAUUUUGAAGGAUUUAUUAAUAGAAGAAAUGAACGUGGGGCUACUGCUUUGCUAUUCCAUCGUCCUUGGGCUGUGUUUACUAUCAAUGGCAUCCUCAGCUAGUCUACCAUAUUCAGAUACCGAAGAAAAUCCCUAUACCAAUAGUGGAUUUACCAUCAUCUCGUCAGGUCCCAACGGUCUUAUAGGCACAGAUAGUGACUACACUGUGUAUCAAGUUGUCUUUGAACGAAUUCGAAGACUGCCAACAGCUGAGCAAGAAGAUAGCGACAGACCAAGGAGGACAUUUCCAGAGGUAGAUUCAAGAGGAUUUGAUGAAGACGUUUUUGAUGAAGGAUUUGGAGAAUGGUAUCCGAUGAAAAGAUUCUGAAGACGGAUGGAACGAAAAUUUCUUGAUUUGUAUGAUUAUUGGAUUUUACAGAAAUGACUGUACAUAGUCAAAUUCUUAUUUAUUUAUGAACAAGUUCAAUGAAAUAUACUUUAGCAGUUCUGACCAAAUAACUCAGCACCAAUGUUGCAAGAACAUUGUUUUCUUUGCCAUAGAAAUUUAUGUAAAGAUUAAUAAAUUAUGAAAAUAAAUAUUGAUGUUUUUCCAUGAAA